rnacentral:rRNA from 1 species
AGAGUUUGAUUCCAUGGCUCAGGAUGAACGCUGGCGGCGUGCUUAACACAUGCAAGUCGAACGAUGAAGCCCAGCUUGCUGGGUGGAUUAGUGGCGAACGGGUGAGUAACACGUGAGUAACCUGCCCUUAACUCUGGGAUAAGCCUGGGAAACUGGGUCUAAUACCGGAUAGGAGCGUCCACCGCAUGGUGGGUGUUGGAAAGAUUUAUCGGUUUUGGAUGGACUCGCGGCCUAUCAGCUUGUUGGUGAGGUAAUGGCUCACCAAGGCGACGACGGGUAGCCGGCCUGAGAGGGUGACCGGCCACACUGGGACUGAGACACGGCCCAGACUCCUACGGGAGGCAGCAGUGGGGAAUAUUGCACAAUGGGCGAAAGCCUGAUGCAGCGACGCCGCGUGAGGGAUGACGGCCUUCGGGUUGUAAACCUCUUUCAGUAGGGAAGAAGCGAAAGGACG